rnacentral:rRNA from 1 species
GACAGAGGGGGCAAGCGUUGCUCGGAAUUACUGGGCGUAAAGGGCGCGUAGGCGGGAUGGCAAGUCGGUCGUGAAAUCCUUCGGCUCAACCGAAGAACGUCGAUCGAUACUGCUGUUCUUGAGGGUUGCAGAGGAGACUGGAAUUCCCGGUGUAGCGGUGAAAUGUGUAGAGAUCGGGAGGAACACCGGUGGCGAAGGCGGGGUCUCUGGGCAAUUCCUGACGCUGAGGCGCGAAAGCGUGGGGAGCAAACGGG